GCAUGCAUCAGCACCAUAAGCAGGAGGGCCCCUGGUCAGAGAAACAUGGAUGCACAUUCAUGCACGUGUACAUGUGAGUAACUCCUCGCAUACAUGCUGGAGGAAACCCUCGCUGUCAUCCACACUCCCAGGAAUGGCCACGUUAGACAUCUUCCCCCUAGUUCCUGAGAAGCCAACCCCGGAGAGCCCAGUGAAAACUCUGGCCAGUUUUGCCUCUAGUUCUUUGCUUCUGGAAAAAAACAGGCACUAGGGUGAAUUUCUUUUCUCUUUUCCUACCAUCCCAUCUUCCUUCUCUUUUGUCCUUCCUUCCUUCCUUCCUCCCUUUCUUCCUUCCUCUCUCCUUUUCCUCCUUCCUUCCCUCUCUUUCUUUCAUGAAGAAAAGCUCACAGAAAGGCAGAAGGAACCACAGUCUAUUGACAUUUCUGACUCUUAGAGGCUCCAAACCGAAACUCAGCUGUGGUUGCUCUAAGUGGCUACAAAAUUAGAAAAAUAAUUUGCAGAAAUGAAACCUGACUUGGGAUGCCAUUUCACAAAAUAGGCUAGAUGGCCUUGAUGUGUCAUGAGGCCCCCACCACUGCCGCCUGCACUGCUGGAGGAACUCCUCACAUCUCAGGCUGCGGAGCAUUUCCACCCCUGCAGUCAGGCAUCCUGCAGAAACCUGCCCCCGCCUACCUGAAGACAGUUCACAGUUUCCUCUAAAAUGGGCAGAAGAGCUGGACCCAGCCACAAGACCAUCAAGGAAAGCAAAAGGCUUUCAAAAGGCUGGAUAUACCCGUACAGACCCCGCACAGCAUCAGUGAGUGAUCCAGCCAGCCAGCCGAAGGAGCUCAGAGACACUGCAGGGAGACAGGGGAGGUGCUGGCGGAGCAGUCUGCCUGUUCCUGGCGUUUGGGAGGGGGUGCAAGCCUCAGGCCUGUUUUUCAGCCUCCCUCCCAAGGCAUGAUUGGUCCCUAGUCCGGGGGAUCCAGGCUGUCUGGGUCAGUUUAAACCUGAGCCUCACUCAGCAGAUGCUCUUAGUGUCUGAGCCCAGUGGUGGGCACUGUCAAGAGCCUGGACUCAGGAGCCGCAUUCCUGCCUAGGUUCAAAUCCCAGCUCCACCACUUACAAGCUGUGUGACUUUGCAAAGUGAGUGAUCUUUCUGUGUGUCAGUUUCUUCACCCGCAUGAUAGGGUGAUGAUAGAGUUGUUAGGAAUAUUAAAUGAGACAGUGCGUAUAAGGAUUGAAAGCGGUUCCUGGAACAUAGAAAACAAGAAAAUCCCAGGCACUCUAAAGAUUAUGAUUGUGAAUGUGCAGUUCAUUGCUGAGCGCAACUUGAUGGAACAUGGGCCUGAAUCAGUCAAGGUGAUAAGUUUAAGUCAAUGUUUGCCCUUUGGCUUUGCCUGUUCCUAGCUAGAUCAGAACCCCUGGGGUACAGAGUCCACACCUGGAACUCCGAAGGGAAAGGAGGGACCUGUUUUCCCUCCUUGGCCUCACCCCAGCCCAGGGGUCCUUCGUCCUCUCCCACCAUGGUCAUUACCACCCUUCCCCCCACCCACCCCCAGUCAAAUACUGACUCUGGAAGCACCUUCUGCAUGGGGCAGGGGGUGGCCUGGAUGACCUCUGGAGCUCCUCACCCCACCAUGGCAGUAAAUCUCCCUUCCUCUACCCCACCACUCAGCCUGUGCCCUGCUGGAGCCCACAGCCCAUCCAUACGGCUCAUCAGCAGCCUGGGAGAGGCCCUGUGGCUGGGAGUUUGUUUGAAGCCUCCAGACCAUUGAGGCAGGGGUGGGGCUGUGGUCAGGACAACAGCAGUGCCUUUCACUGGCUCUCUGGGAGCAGCUGUGUGGGGGCACCGGCCCAGAAGGAUGACCGACAUCCACCCACAGUCCUUACUAUUUGCGAGGGAUAGGGCAGAGGAGGGGCCCAGCCCAGGAUGGCUGUGGUCACAUUGGUUCACAUGUUGAGUAUGAAAGGAAAAGAAAGAAGGGAAGGGGAGGUGGGAAAAGGGAAGGGAGAAAGAAAGAGAGAAAGAGAGGGAGGGAAAUAGGGAGAAGGGAAGGAAGGGGGCAGGAGGAAGGGAGAGAAGGAGGAAGGGAUGGAGAGAGGAGACUCACAUCUCAGAAGAGAAAAAGCACCAGGAGCUUUCCUUAGGCAAUCAUCUGCCUGCAGGUUGCUUUACACUCAGGGCUGUGCAGCCCAACUCUAGGUCUCGGCCGCCUCCAUUCUGAGGGCCUUGGAUACAAUUGCCCCCAAACCAGGCAUUCCAACCAGGGACCGUGACGGGCCCCAGCUCCAGGCCUCCUGAGUGUCCUCUCAUGGUUUAGUCUGCCCCCUCCUGAGAAGGAAGAAGAGGCAGGGUGUGUGUGUUUGUGUGUAUGUGCACAUGCAAGCAUGGCUGUGCAGCCUCAUCACGCAUUCCAUCUCCCAGACGGCUGCCUCUGUCUGCCUGUGCAGUCUGCCUCUCUUCCAAAGGGUGGUUUGCAGUGCAGAUUCAUGGCUCCCAGCUAGAAACAGUAUUCCCUCUGCCCCCGCGCCAACUUCUGCCCAAUUCUCCUGCUCCUCACCCAGUUCCCCAGUGCCCCGAGGGGCCUGGCCACACAGAAAGCCUGCUGGCUCUGUCCAUAGUGCCGAGGGUUGGAGGCCUGGCAGUCCUCUGCCUUUGGUGUCUGUCCUGAUUGUCUCUCCUGAGGGUGACAUGGGCAGGAUCUCAGUGGGAGGUGAGACUGGGGCCAUGCACUUCUCCUCCCUGUAAAACACUGCUCAGGGAGAGCAGCUUUGCUGACCUUGAGCUGGGACCCCCCCUUUCAGAGUCUCCCAGUGAUAACCCCCAUGGGGACAAUUGGAUGGCUGACCCUCUCUAGCCUUUAGGCUGGGGGGAGGAGAAACCUGAAUUUUGGGUUUUUGUCCCUUUCCCAGAAGAGCGGUAGGAAAGAAUCGCUAACAGCAGUAGCCUGAGCUGGAAAUAUGCUCAGGGGCCAGCAUGUCCCAGCUUUGAGUACAGAGCUUCAUUCUGAGCACCUCCCACAUAAAACACAAUCGGGGCGCCCCAAGGAGGGGCAGACACCAACAUUUCAGGCCAGAAUUCCAGGCACUUGACUCCUAGCAGAGCUUUGGGUAAGCUAUCUCUUCCUCCUUAGCCUUGGUUUCCUCACUUGUAAAUAAGUGGCUUGAAGCCACUGAGGGCCUUUUAGUGCCAGCAGUGAAUCCUGUGACUGUGUUCCUCCUAUCUCCCUGUAUCCCAGGGCCACACUUGGAGCAUUUUUCCCCUGCCUGGCCACGUACCUGCUCCCGGAGGCCUUGUUACCAAGAAGGGCUCAUGGAGCUGGAGGAGGUCAGGGGAGCAAUGGGAACAGCCAGAGGCACAGUGGCAGCCUUUGAAGAUAAGAUUCCUAAGUCUGGGAAAUACAGAGGUGUGGCUGCAAUAGGAACAGGACACAGACCCUCUCACCAUCACAGGGAAACUCAAGUGUCUCCCUUGGGGAGGUCACUACAGAAAAAAUGAAAAGAAGCACUUGUACUUCUGUACAGGGUGGGUGUGAACUCAUCACCAGCCCGGAGGUGUAGGUAGGCCAACAGUGGACGCGGAUGCUAGAAAGGCACUAUGACAUCAGAGUGAGCAUGACUGAGUCUGGUUAACAAUGGCCAAAACUGUCCCAUUCCCACCAUCCAAUAGCACACCUCUUAGGCCUGGGAGACCCUGGGCAGACUCAGGAGGACAUGUGCUGUGCUGAGCCUGAAGAAGGUGGCAAAGAGCAGGUGUGUGCAGGCAACUUUGUUCAUUCAGCACUCCAGGAAUUAAAGGCCUACCACGUGCCAGGCCCUGGGCUAUGGUGGGAUUCAGCAGCAAACAGACAGACUCAGCAACCUGCCCUCAUGGAGCUUACAUUCUAGCAAGGAGGGGAUGAUAAGCAUCAAAGUGACAGGUCUGCAAAUAAGUAAAUUUCCAAAAGGCUGUGGAGAAGGAAGCAGGGCAUGCUGGGGGACAAUUUUAAAUAGGUGAUUGGAAAA